UACGUGAGAGGCAAGCGUUAUUCGUCAUUAAUGGGUCUAAAGGGUACGUAGGCGGUAUAGUAAAUCUUUUUUUUAUUGACACUUGAAAGUGGAUCUGAUAAUACUAGACUAGAGUUAAAAGAAGUAACAAAUACAACAAGUGGAGUGUAACAAUACUUAGAUACUUGAAGGGUUGCGAAGUGGCGAAAGCAUGUUACUAUUAAAGACUGACGCUGAGGUACGAAGGCAUGGGUAUCGAUCGGG
rnacentral:rRNA from 1 species